rnacentral:rRNA from 1 species
ACUCCUACGGGAGGCAGCAGUGGGAAUAUUGCACAAUGGGCGCAAGCCUGAUGCAGCCAUGCCGCGUGUAUGAAGAAGGCCUUCGGGUUGUAAAGUACUUUCAGUCAGAUGACGGAAUGGUGGAUAUGUUAAUAGCAUAUUCAUUUGACGUUAGCUGCAGAAGAAGCACCGGCCUAACUCCGUGCCAGCAGCCGCGGUAAUACGGAGGGUGCGAGC